UGCAGGGGCACAGAAUUUCCCCAGGAGUAGCAUGUGCACUGACAGGCAGGGGAACUGUGGAAAUAAAUAGUAAGAGUCUCUGCUUACAAUCAUAUUUCCCACACAUAAGUGAGGUCAAUUAAAGUUUCAUGGGCAACUCUUAAAUCUGACAUUUCCUAACUUUUGAAAACUUGACUUUACAAUCUUAACAUUCUUUUCAUAUUGAUUUUUUAAACGUAAUUUCCUGACUUUACAAAAAUCUGGAAAAAAUCUAAAAAUUCCAUCAUGUGGAACCAUACUGACCCUCAGCUUGGGUUAUCAGCAGUGUUUGGACCUUUAUAGCAUAGACCACUACCACUUAGCUAAUGGGGUAACUGGUGGUAGUAGUAGAAGACUAAAUAUGGGGAUCAGCUACUAGAGGGGGACGAGACUCACACUGUGCCUGGGGUUUCACAUAUAUAUGCUGACAAUAGAAAUACAUAGAGUCUCGGGACUUUUGGUUCAGUUCCAGGUUCUGGAGAGUAGUGUGUUUUUCCAAAGUUAUAGAUCCUUCUGUCCCUGUAUCCUCCACAAGUUUAUCUCUGUACACCUUUCUUCCUAUCUAUCCAUUCCCAGCUCCUGUCCUCUCCUCCUCAGCUAUAAUCUUCCCUCUGAUUCAUGUCCACCUUCCCCUUCUCCUGCUUCCCUAACUGGCUCCUAUCUCCCACUGCUUCCCCCCUUUGGUUCCUGCAACACUGUCUCCCUCAUGUCUCACUCCUCUUCAUUCUAAGCCAGGCUACUUUCUUCUUCUGCUCACUACCUGGCACUAGGAGCACGAGAGAGUCUCCCUGUUCUCAUUUCUGGAGUCUACUGCUCCUGUGAAUUGUAGGGAAAGUCCUGCUCAGCCCAGCCCCUGCAGUCCCAUGGUGGAGUACACACAGUGCAAUCUGCACAAGGAGCUGUGAAGGGCUGGGGCAUUCUCAGUGCAGACAGAAUCUUUGGAGACUUUAGCAGCCAUACUCUAACAAGUUGCCCUUGAUUAUGUGUGAGCUGAGAUUUUUUAAAAGGCUCAUACCGUGUGAAAAUAUGCCCAGUUUUUCAUGGGAACAGUAAAAGCCACAUCCUGACACACACCCCGCAGACAAAUUUCAAGUCCCUGCUCCAAAGCAUGGAGACACUAGAGCAUCUAAAAAAAUAAUGCACUGGUUGUAAGAAUAAUGUAAGAAAAACAAUGGAUUUUUCCCUAAUCUCACCCGCAGAAAUAGCUCAAUUGUUUUGGCUGAAACUUUCAAAAACAAAAGCAACCCCCCUCCCAAAAAAUAUUCAGCCUGAGGCAAGCACCCAGAGUGGAAAAUUUCAACUCAAAUGGUUUAACUUUUGCAAAGUUAUAUGCAACUGAAAACAGGAUCUUAUAAUAAAAAAAUAUAUAUGGUAAAGAAGACUAACCAAACUACUACUAAUUAUACUAUGAAACUUAAAACUAUUUCUCUUUCGUCAUAGACAUUGGGAUGUCGCUACAGAGCUCCAUCUCAGGCCGGGGAUGGUUGAGAAGGAGAGGGGAUUGGGUCGUGCGUGUGAUAGAUGAGGCACUAACGGCGCUGCGAGACAACCACUGUGCAUGCAUGACCCAGACGGACACGGCUGAUGAAAUUCUCCGAUCAAUGGCGCUGGGGCGCUCCAACACCUGAAGUGGAGCACCCACAGGGGGACACAUCUUGAAGAACCUCAAUUACUGUACAAGGAGUACUGUCUCAGAGGCGGAGCCAAGAAGCAUGGCGGCUGUUGAGGCCUGACGUGCUUCCUCGAAGUGAACGGAGGAAGAGGCCCAGGGACCUGAGGGUAGCCCUUGAGUCCUUCAGGCCAUGUAGUCUCGCGUUCAUCUGCUCUGAAAAUAGUGACGGGCCUUCGAAAGGGAGGCCCUGGAUAGACUGCUGGAUCUCCUGAUCGAGUCCCGAUGACUGCAGCCAAGAGCAUCAUCUCAUGGUGACUACAGAGGUCAUUGUCCUGGCCGCCAUGUCUGCUGCGUCCAGUGCCUCCUGGAGAGAGGCUCUGGCAACAUUCUUUCCUUGUUCUAAGAUGGCUGAAAAUUCCUGCCAUAAGUCUUGAGACAUGGAGUCCUUAAAUUUGGACAGAGUCCCACAAAUUGUAGUCGUAUCUCCAGAGUAAGGCUUGCUGGUUUGAGAUACAUAGUUGUAGACUCCCUGUCAAAUAAACUUUCCUCCCAAACAGAUCAAGUUUCUUUGCAUCCUUCUGUUUGGGGGUAGCACUCAACUGGCUCUGGCUCUCCCAUUUGUUAGCCACCAGUAUGGAUGAGGGACCCAGGAGGGGGUGAGAGUACAGAUACUCAUACCCACUCACUGGCACAUAAUAUUUCUUCUCUGUGCUCUUUGAAGUGGGGAAUGGGGGGGAAGAAAAGAUGGGGUCUUCCACAGGACUCUGAACAGACUUAUUACCGCCUCACUAAUGGGUAAGACUAAUUUAGAUGGAACUGCUGCAACCAGAAUGUCAAUGAGGCUGUGAGAGGAUUCCUGAAUGCCUCAAUCUCAAGCCCCAGGUUAGCGGCUAUUCGCUUUAAAAGCUCUUGAUGAGCCCUAAAGUCAUCUUCGGGAAGCGAGCUGCUCGGCCCCAAGUCGGCCUCAUCCGGGGAAGAGGAGGAAGAGGCCUGUACUGGAGGAGGGGCCACCAUCUUCAGCUUCUUCUUCAGCCUCAAUAACCUCCAAAGGGGCCACAUUUUGUAAAUCAGUACUGGAUUGGUACUGGAAUCAGGGUCUUGUGCCAAUCAUGGAGGAACAGGAGCCUGCCUCUCAGAAGCAACCAAGUAUGAAUGGUGGGAGGGUAGACCUAGUACCGGGGGAAUCUCCCAAGGGUUUCAGUAUGGCCACUUCAUAGACCACUAUCCUCCUGCCACGUACCAGUGGGGGAACCCGCACCAAGGUCCUUCGGCAUGAAGUACGGGUACUGGCGGCCCUAAAGUUUAACUUAUAGGGUUCUGCAUCAGACUCAGAUGAAGAAUCCUCCCUAGGCAACCACAGGGGAGUGGUACCUCUCACUGCCUCCAAUCAGUGCCAAGGGUCCAGUGACCAGUGACAGGCUGGGGACAACCUCGCAGAGGACAGAAAAGUUGGCCUGCGUCUAAAAAGCAGUCAGUGGCCCAGUGCCAGGAAGGAGCUCAGAGCACCAUGCUCUCUCCUACUCAAGGACGACAAAGCCGGCAGCUGACCUAAUGGGGUCGGCAGGACCAGGAGUGACAACAAGUCUCUGGCUACUGUUUGCAGGGUUGAAGGCACUGCAGUUCCGCUGGUGCCGCGAUGACUUCCUGCUGUCGGCGGAAGGUCCCGCAUUAGACUCUAUGGAGUAGAUGGUGCUGCCAUGGGACCAGGGGUGGAAGAGUGCCCAAUGCAGUCGCACUCCACUGCCUUCCCCUUGCUUGCCUUUCUUUGACACUGGCGAGCGCCCCUAUUGGAAUGCUACUUUUUGUGCUUCUUCCUCAGUCUGCCUGGUGGAGAGCAGUGCCGGAGGAGCACUUUGCACCAAGUUCCGAGGCUGGUCUAAGAGCAGCUUCCUUUAGGAUAGCCUUAAGUCUGACUGCGCUGUCCUUCUUUGUGCAAAGUCCCGAUAAAUUUAGCAGAGGUCUUUCAUGUGAGAUUCUCCCAGACAACUGGAGUGUGGGUCAUUUACAAGCAUAGACUGCCACAGGAGGCACAAGGUUUGAGGUGAGGGUGCUAACUAUCUACAUUAAAAGUGCAGCCUGCCAUGUUUUAAGGUCAUGCCAGGAAUACCAAGAGGGAUGCACUGAAACAAAAAUAACUCUGGGAGGACAUUCAUCUUCAGCGAGGCUACCCUACCUAGCCGAGAAAUUUCAUAUUUGUUCCAUUCCCCCAGGUAUUUUAUUAUUUUAUUUUAAAGAUUGCUUUACCCAUUUAAAUGUAUAUAGCUGACAACAGUUUAUUUUGAUCCUUUUGGGAAUAUUAAUUCCUAAAAUUUCACGUUUAUUUUGAAGCCUGAUACCUGCCCAAAUUCCAAAUCAACUGUUCCAUAAUUUUUAGCACGUUUUGCUGCCCUUUAACAAGGGUUGGUUUCUCAUAUUUAUUUGAAAUGGCUCCAUUGUCAAAGCAAACAGAGGAUAAGGGGAAGGCUUGUCUUGUACCCCUAGACAAAUUAAAAGGAGGUGAUUGUC